rnacentral:misc_RNA from 1 species
AGCAGCCGCGGUAAUUCCAGCUCCAAUAGCGUAUAUUAAAGUUGUUGCAGUUAAAAGCUCGUAGUUGAAUUUCGGGAUUGGCGCAUCGGUCGUGCCUCACGGGGUAUGAACUGGUGCAGUCAAUUUCUCACCUUCUGGAGAACCGCGAUGUCCUUAAUUGGAUGCCGUGGGGAACCAGGACCUUUACUUUGAAAAAAUUGAGUGUUUAAAGCAGGCAUUUUUGCUUGAAUACAUUAGCAUGGAAUAAUAAAAUAGGACGGCAUGGUUCUAUUUUGUUGGUUUCUAGGACCACCGUAAUGAUUAAUAGGGAUAGUUGGGGGCAUUAGUAUUCAAUUGUCAGAGGUGAAAUUCUUGGAUUUAUUGAAGACUAACUACUGCGAAAGCAUUUGCCAAGGAUGUUUUCAUUAAUCAAGAACGAAAGUUAGGGAUCGAAGACGAUCAGAUACCGUCGUAGUCUUAACCAUAAACUAUGCCGACUAGGAAUCAGACGAUGUUAAUUUUUAAUGUACUCGUUUGGCUA